rnacentral:rRNA from 1 species
GAUGAACGCUGGCGGCGUGCUUAACACAUGCAAGUCGAACGGAAACGCUGCUGCUUGCUGGGGUACUCGAGUGGCGAACGGGUGAGUAACACGUGGGUGAUCUGCCCUGCACUUCGGGAUAAGCUUGGGUAACUGGGCCUACUACAGGACAGGACGCUGGCUUGGAUGCCAUUCUGGAAAGCUUUUCGGCGUGAGAUGGGCUCCCGGCCUAUCAGCUUGUUGGUGGGGUAAUGGUCUACCAAGGCGUCGACGGGUAGCCGGCAUGUGAGGGGGUACGGUCACAUGAGGACUGCGAGACGGACCAGACUCCUACGGGAGACAGCAGUGGGGAAUAUGGCACAGUGAGCGCAAGCCUGAUGCAGCGACGCCGCGUGUGGGAUGACGGCCUUCGGGUUGUAAACACCUUUCGCUAGAGACGAAGCGCAAGUGACGGUACCUGAAGAAGAAGCACCGGCUAACUACGUG